rnacentral:rRNA from 1 species
GCAUAUCAAUAAGCGGAGGAAAAGAAACUAACAAGGAUUCCCCUAGUAACUGCGAGUGAAGCGGGAAGAGCUCAAAUUUUAAAUCUGGCAGCUUUGCUGUCCGAGUUGUAAUCUGUAGAAGUGUUUUCUGCAUUGGACCGUGUACAAGUCUCUUGGAACAGAGCGUCAUAGAGGGUGAGAAUCCCGUCCAUGACAUGGACUACCAAUGCUUUGUGAUACACUCUCAAAGAGUCGAGUUGUUUGGGAAUGCAGCUCAAAAUGGGUGGUAAAUUCCAUCUAAAGCUAAAUACAAGCGAGAGACCGAUAGUGAACAAGUACCGUGAGGGAAAGAUGAAAAGCACUUUGGAAAGAGAGUUAAACAGUAUGUGAAAUUGUUGAAAGGGAAACACUUGAAGUCAGUCACAUUCUGCAGGACUCAGCCUUGUCCUUAGGGACUUGGUGUAUUUCCUGCAGAAUGGGUCAACAUCAAUCUUGGUCAGUGGAUAAAGGAGGAGGGAAUGUAGCACCUUUGCAGGUGUGUUAUAGCCCUCUUUCAUAUACAUUGGCUGGGAUUGAGGACUGCAGCAUGCCCUCUGGGGCCAGGACUUAUCAUGUCUCAUGCUUAGGAUGUUGACAAAAUGGCUUUAAGUGACCCGUCUUGAAACACGGACC